rnacentral:tRNA from 1 species
AGCGCGAUGGCCAAGAGGUUAAGGCGUUGGACUUAAGUUCCAAUGGACGGAAGUCUUCGUGGGUUCGAACCCCACUCGCGCUA